rnacentral:tRNA from 1 species
CCCUAAAGAAGCUAUGCUUAGCGCUAGCCUUUUAAGCUAGAGAAGGGAGCUGCUCCCCUUAGAGA